rnacentral:sRNA from 1 species
AUUGCGAAUUUGUUGUGUAAUGUGGUCGGUGUACAAAAUGGAAUCAUGAAUGUACAACCGGGUGAUGGCCAUGAAGAAUUAAGCCAGAUAUUUUCGGUGUUUGUCAAUACGUUUAUGACGACGAGAUAUGGACACCAGUGGAGGGAGAGAGGGGUGCAGAUACGACCGGCUGACUGGAUGUGGAUGGCUUUUGGAGCAUUGUGUGGCGUGAUGGCCUUCGUAUUUGGGAUUUUUUACACUCUCGUUACUGAUGUAUGCUCCUCCUCGUUUAAAGAAGACGGGAUUUUCAGAGAAAUUUCAUAUAUUUACCGCAAAUUAACGUCCGUUAGGUAGUUGUAAAUAUGUAAUCUAAUUAAUGUAAAAUGGAUUAAUGGAUAUAAAUAGAUGCUUUUUUAAACAGUCAUCGAUCAAUUAUUAUUUUGUUUUAAAACGAAACUACAUAUAAGAGCACAUGCAUGUAACUUAUAGAUAUUCUGAUUAAAUAAAGUGUUUGCUCAUCCUCCUGUCUUUAGUAGAUAGGAGAGGAGGGUGUGAUUUUGAUCAGCU